rnacentral:rRNA from 1 species
AUUGAACGCUGGCGGCAGGCCUAACACAUGCAAGUCGAACGAGUGGCGGACGGGUGAGUAAUGUCUGGGAAACUGCCUGAUGGAGGGGGAUAACUACUGGAAACGGUAGCUAAUACCACAUACCAUCCGAUUUGCCCAGAUGGGAUUAGCUUGUUGGUGGGGUAACGGCUCACCAGGGCGACGAUACCUAGCUGGUCUGAGAGGAUGACCAGCCACACUGGAACUGAGAAACGGGCCAGACUCCUACGGGAGGAAGCAGGGGGGAUUAUUGCAAAAUGGGCGCAAGCCUGAUGCACCAAGGCGGCGUGUAUGAAGAAGGCCUUCGGGUUGUAAAGUACUUUCAGCGGGGAGGCGUUACCCGCAGAAGAAGCACCGGCUAACUCCGUGCCAGCAGCCGCGGUAAUUC